rnacentral:lncRNA from 1 species
AUGGGAGGGAGGGAUAAAAUGCACACACACAUCCACACGCACACGCACGGAUCGGAGCUUUGUAAAACAGGCAGCUAUAGGCAAGGACCCGAACUGCCACCGUAUCGCAUCGGGCACUCUCUGCUAGCCUAUAGGAGGAGAGGAAGGAUGGAAGGAAGGAUGGAUGGAUGGAUGGAUGGAUGGUUGCAUGGAUGGAUGGAUGGAUGGAUGGAUGGAUGGAUGGAUGGAGCAGAGGAGCCAGCGAGAGCCGGAGCGCGUUGGCAGCCGGGCAGCGCAGCCUCCCCGGGACAGCUUAGCCCUAAGCGGGGAGCCAGGAGCCCUGCAGGAGGACAGGGGUUGGAGCUCCCCAUGCAGCCCUGCCUGGUCGUGGAUUUGCACCGCUGUUUGCCCAGGCAAGGCACAGAGACUGCAAUUAACCCUUUCUUAUGUUAUUAUCAUUAUUUUUUAAUUAUUAUUAUUUUUUUAAACUGCUUUCCUAGCCUCUUUCCCCCCACACCAGCUCCAUCAUCGCACAGCCUGUGCAGGGAGUAGGGGGGGGUCUCGCCCCAGUGCAACACCCCAGGGUGGGUUUGGGCUGGGGUGUGGGGGGGGAAGAGAGAGGUUGAGCAGAUGGAGGAAAGGGGGACGUGGGAUUUGGGGAGAGGUCCCUGCUGCAUCCCGGAGGCUUUGGGGUGAAGGUGCUGCCUCCGGGUGUGCAGCCAGGGGGAGGUCCCCAGUAAUGAGGAGCUUAAUGAAGGGGGGGGGGGGGGGAGGAGGAGGAGGAGGGGGAGGAAGGGAUGGAGGGGAGAGAGAGCAGGGGGAGGGCAGGGGGACUCCAGCAUCCUGCCAGACUCCAGGACAUGCCCCUUGCCUUUAACCCUUCCUGCUCCACAAGGAGGAAAGCAGCCCCUUGCCUUGCUGAUGCCACCUCCCUCUGUAAGUGGAGGGGCACAGACCUGCCUCAUGGGGCAGAGGGAAUGAUCCUGGCCCCAUCUCCUUCUCUUUCUGCUCCAAGGAAGGCGAUGAGGACCCCGGUCCCCUCUUCAGGGCCACCCCAGGGGCAUCUCUCUCCUCCUCCUUUCUGCCUCCAUCCCCAGCCCAUGGCCUUCUGCCCCUUUCCUCCCUUCCCUUCACCACAUCCAGCCCUUUCACUUCCAUUUCCACAUCUCCAAACCCCUUUUAUCCCCCUAAAAAACUUCAGGGGACAGGAGAAAAAAAGAGAAAAUCGUUCAUCUCAGAGAGCUGAGCAGCAAACCCUGGCGAGCCAGCCUUUCCCCGUCCCCAGCCAGCACUGCAGCACUGCUGGCCAAAGGCAUCUGUGACAUCUCCAGUUAAGCAGGGACUGGAGCAGAGGGGCAGCUGGGGCCUGAAAUGCUUGUUUUCAGCCGACAGGCGGCUAUGCUGGAUUAGCACGGUGCAUGCACAGAAUGGAAAUCUCUCCCUUUCGCUCUCCAGCCUUUCGGGAGUUUGGUUGGUUUCAUCCAGGAAGGCUCCUGUGCACCUCCAGAGGUUUCUCCUACGGGGUGCACAUCCCGGAGGUUUCUCCUCCUCUUCUUCUUCCCCAGUGGCACAACGGGGAGCAGAACACUUCUAUGGGAAAAGUGCAGGGGGGGUGGCAAAACGAUCCCAUGCACAGCAUUUGUGAGCCCUACGGGGCAUCUUGGCCAUGCCUUUGGGUGGUGGGGCACAUGGGGGCACUCACCUUCUGAGCUGCUCAGAUCUCUCCUGUGUUGUAGGGCAAAGAAGCUCAGCACAAGGAAAAAAAAAUACUAGAAAGUGUCACAGACAAAAUUAAACAGGAGCAGGAACGUGACCCAGGAUUUAAAAAUGUAGAAAAUAAAGGGCUGAUGGCCUGUUUCUCA